rnacentral:rRNA from 1 species
GGCGAACGGGUGAGUAACACGUGAGUAACCUGCCCCAGACUCUGGGAUAACAUCGGGAAAUCGGUGCUAAUACCGGAUAUGAGACGAGAUUGCAUGAUCAUCGUCUGGAAAGAUUUAUCGGUCUGGGAUGGACUCGCGGCCUAUCAGCUAGUUGGUGAGGUAAUGGCUCACCAAGGCGACGACGGGUAGCCGGCCUGAGAGGGCGACCGGCCACACUGGAACUGAGAUACGGUCCAGACUCCUACGGGAGGCAGCAGUGGGGAAUAUUGCACAAUGGGCGCAAGCCUGAUGCAGCAACGCCGCGUGGGGGAUGAAGGCCUUCGGGUUGUAAACCCCUUUUAGCAGGGAAGAAGCGAAAGUGACGGUACCUGCAGAAAAAGCGCCGGCUAACUACGUGCCAGCAGCCGCGGUAAUACGUAGGGCGCAAGCGUUGUCCGGAAUUAUUGGGCGUAAAGAGCUCGUAGGCGGUUUGUCGCGUCUGCUGUGAAAGUUCGAGGCUCAACCUCGAAUCUGCAGUGGGUACGGGCAGACUAGAGUGUGGUAGGGGAGACUGGAAUUCCUGGUGUAGCGGUGGAAUGCGCAGAUAUCAGGAGGAACACCAAUGGCGAAGGCAGGUCUCUGGGCCAUAACUGACGCUGAGGAGCGAAAGCGUGGGGAGCGAAC